GAUGAACGCUGGCGGCGUGCCUAAUACAUGCAAGUCGAGCGAACGGACGAGAAGCUUGCUUUUCUGAUGUUAGCGGCGGACGGGUGAGUAACACGUGGAUAACCUACCUAUAAGACUGGGAUAACUUCGGGAAACCGGAGCUAAUACCGGAUAAUAUUUUGAACCGCAUGGUUCAAAAGUGAAAGACGGUCUUGCUGUUACUUAUAGAUGGAUCCGCGCUGCAUUAGCUAGUUGGUAAGGUAACGGCUUACCAAGGCAACGAUGCAUAGCCGACCUGAGAGGGUGAUCGGCCACACUGGAACUGAGACACGGUCCAGACUCCUACGGGAGGCAGCAGUAGGGAAUCUUCCGCAAUGGGCGAAAGCCUGACGGAGCAACGCCGCGUGCGUGAUGAAGGUCUUCGGAUCGUAAAACUCUGUUAUUAGGGAAGAACAUAUGUGUAAGUAACUGUGCACAUCUUGACGGUACCUAAUCAGAAAGCCACGGCUAACUACGUG
rnacentral:rRNA from 1 species